CGAUGACGCCCGCUUUUCCAGCUUUAGAAGCGGCCAGUUCGGCUUGGAGCGUCUGCAGGGCUUCGGCAUUUCUAGCGGCUAGGACCAGCACGGAUUUGGGCUUGACCAGCUCGGAGAUCUGGAGGGCUGUGGUUCGGCCGAAUCCGCGAGAAGCUCCGGUGAUGAUGCACAAGGCUCUCCCCAGAUCCCAUGACAACACAUCAGACCACACAUCCUGUUGGCAGCCCCUCCCCAGGACCCAGCCAAUGAGAACAGAUUUUAAGGCAGGCUUCACUUUUUCACAGAGCUCCCGCUUCAAAGUGCCGCCCUGCAGAACUAUGGGCCAACAUCGGAAAUGCACAGUCACGAUGAAAGCCCAGGACAACAUCAGAAACACACAGUCACGAUGACCUGGACCAGUCCCUGUGUGCGUUGACUCACUCAAACACAAAGGAGCUUGAAGAUGAGAAAUGGAUGAGAACCUGAAAAACCAGCAAAGAAGGUUUAGGUUGAGGGGUGGAGGAGGGAGAGGUCAGACAUGUCUGCUCAUGGCCUUAACUGGGGAGUUUCGCCCUUUUUGCUGGUGAAACCUCCCACACGGUAUACUGACAGGGAUACACUUUCCGUGUAGUACAAGACUAUGUCAAAUGUGGCACUUCCAGAGACACGAGACAGAGGUUAACCACUUGACAGAUAUGUCACUGGAUGGGCUUCGCAAGAGGCCUCUGCAUCGCCAUAUUGCUCUUAAUACUCAUCGAAAUUGCAGUGCUGAUGGAAACCAACUCUUAACCGUUUUUCUGUUAUUAUUUUAUUUGAUCUCCUGUCUCUCUACCUUUUGUGUUUUAACAUUUUAACUGUAACCAUGGAUGUCCCAACAUGUUGUCUUUAUUUAUUUUUUACGAUUUUGUUUAUCCAGAUUAUCGUAUAGACUAGGCUAUUUGUAGUAUUCUAAUUCUAGACAAUGGGGGGCCAGGCUGCAGCCAGUUUCUCGGUUAGGAGAGGCCUGUCACAUUACAUCUUAUUGAUCUCUUAGUUUUCCCAACUGCAGUGGAGGAAUUAAGAAGCAAACCUAUACAUGAUUAAUACCACUCAACAUUGCAUUGAUGCAAUUUUCUGUCACAUUUUCUGCAUUUAAAAAUGUACAAAUGCAUCACAAAUGAAACUCUUUAUACCAAACUAGAGUUAUUUUUAAUCUUACCAAAAGGAGAACAGCUCUCUGUCCUUAAGGCAGGAUAGAGAAUUACCCGGAGGAACUAGGCUACCUUUUUUGAGGGGUUUGUCGGUAGAUUCAAGCUUGCCAAAUGUGCAAGCAUGCAGCAAGCUUUUAUCAGGAAGAUAAGCGCAAACACAGCUUCUGGGGUAGGGAACUUGAUAAUCAGAUAAUCUUCAACGCAAAUAUUGACAUUGACUUCAUCAUUGCAAUUACUGGUUUAGCUGGUUGUAGUACUUAUAUUAGUAGUUACAUUUGAGAAACACUUAUCAAUCAACUGAAUGGAAAUGCAGGAAAAUAUUCGUGAGUAUCAGCUUGAAAUCCCGUGAUACCGGGUUGGAUUGUGACACCCUGCUUCUGGUCAGACUGAAUGAAUUUCCUAUGCCCGAGAGUAGAUGGCGCAAUGUACAAAGACUAGCUAUUGUUAGCCGUUUUUUACAUUUCAGUUAAUGUUGUUUGCAUGAAUAAGUAAAAAUGUUUCUUUUUAAAAUGUCUUUAUUGUCAACU